rnacentral:rRNA from 1 species
CCCGGCCGACCGGCCGGCACGGGUGGAGUAACAACAUAUGCAACCUGGCCGUGACAGAUGGAUAACCGGGAGAAAUCCCGCCUAAUACAACAUAAUGCCGGGAGGGGACAUCCCCUGCCGGCCAAAGGGGGCGACCCCGGUCACGGAUGGGCAUGCGGCGCAUUGGGUAGUUGGUGGGGCAACGGCCCACCAAGCCGACGAUGCGUAGGGGUUCUGAGAGGAAGGUCCCCCACAUUGGAACUGAGACACGGUCCAAACUCCUACGGAAGGCAGCAG